rnacentral:rRNA from 1 species
UACGGAGGGUGCAAGCGUUAUCCGGAUUCACUGGGUUUAAAGGGUGCGUAGGUGGGCAAGUAAGUCAGUGGUGAAAUCUCCGGGCUUAACCCGGAAACUGCCAUUGAUACUAUUUGUCUUGAAUACUGUGGAGGUCAGCGGAAUAUGUCAUGUAGCGGUGAAAUGCUUAGAUAUGACAUAGAACACCCAUUGCGAAGGCAGCUUACUACGCCUAUAUUGACGCUGAGGCACGAAAGCGUGGGGAUCAAACAGG